CACGUAGGGGACGAGCGUUGUCCGGAUUCAUUGGGCGUAAAGCGCGCGUAGGCGGCUCGGAAAGUCGGUCGUGAAAUGCCGGGGCUCAACCCCGGGACUGCGUCCGAUACUUCCGGGCUGGAGGUAGGUAGGGGAGAUCGGAAUUCCUGGUGUAGCGGUGAAAUGCGCAGAUAUCAGGAGGAACACCGGUGGCGAAGGCGGAUCUCUGGGCCUUACCUGACGCUGAGGCGCGAAAGCUAGGGGAGCAAACGG
rnacentral:rRNA from 1 species